UCACACCUCUAUCAGAUACUAUCGUGUAAAUAUUGGCUAUAAAUUAUCAUGUCUAAAGCAUAAAUUUCAACAUUAUAUUCUGUCUGUGUUGGGGAUUCUCUUAGUUUAAGAAAGUGUGGAACAAAUAAAAAGUAAGCUUAUAUUUGCUAUUUGUGAAGAUAAACAACUUUAGAUCACCAAUAAUAACUAUAAACGAAGGCAGUACAGGUUUCACAUAUCCCGUGGGAAUGAAGUGAAAAGCCGAGGGUAUUUUAAAGUACAAACACCGGGAACUACAGAGGUUAUUUCUAUCCCGGAUAUUGGGAUGUUAACUGCAAUGCAGCUGAGAUCCGUUCCGGGGCUGAUAAAUACCACAUUACUAAUCUGUAGUCUAAAUCUUUCCGGGAUCUCCCAUCUGUAUGAUAUACACGUCAAUUUCGACAUAGUGUUGCUUGUUGCUUAUCACUGACAUCAGGAUGGUAAUUUGUUUUUUGCAAAUACACACACACACUACACUUGUUUUGUUUUUUUCUCAUUCCUUUUCAAGACAUCUUCUUGCAUGUAUGAGCACGGGAUGCACAUUGACAUUUCUCCUCCGUGGUACAUGCUUGGACAAGAUCACCAGGCUCCCCUCACUACGCCAUCGAUAUUAUCCAAAGAAAAAGUAAAGGUCGAUGCAACUUGGGUCCAGUCACUUCGCAACUCACUCCUAAAGGUUUGUGAACUGGAGCGCGACACAGCCCGCUAAGCAUUUUGACCGGUAUCCUAUCCGCUCAAACGAAACGCCUCCUUUUAUUAUAGUAGUAAUAAUCUUUUAUACUCUAGGCAUAACUCCUGAAAAGAAUUUUGGCAAGAGCACCACAAAUUUUGGCAAGUGCAACAGUUAUAAUCGUCACUCUUGUUCAGCUGCCGAAAUCCGUAACUUCUACUUGUUUUAUAGGUUGGAGUGCGGCAAGGGUGGCUCGCCGCCUUCAAGUGUCGAAAAAAUACUCACGUCGUUUUUUUGUAACCUUUUUCUUUUCCUGUCGAACACUUAUUUCUAACGUCUAAAUGACAUAAAGACCUCAACACUGUAGAGUUGUGGUGAAGUAGAAACAAAGAAAUAGCACAUAUACAACAAAUUUUCAUAGAGUUUUCAUCUACCAAAUUUACUCAGUAGUCAUAUGCGGGUCCGGAGCGUAAGUAGAAAACAUUAAACUGCACCCGAAAUCACGUGGCUGAAAUGCAAAGAUCUUCACCGCACAGUCAUGAUUGCGUCCAUUGUAUAAUAUAUAUAUAUAUAUAUAUAUAGACAAGUAUUGGUCAAUCGGUUCACAAAUGAAAAUGACAAUAAUAAAUAAUUGUAUAGCUAUAGUAUUGUUCAGCUUUAUUGAUUCUGAGAGAAAUAUACUGAGUGAUAUCGACAUUUUAAUUAGUGAGGAUGGUAUUACUUUGUAUAAAUACUUACCAAAUAAGAGAAAAAUAAUAAACGCAAAAAUGUUCAUCUUGAUUUUAUCUAUUCAAUUUCGUUGCAUUAUUAUACAACAGUUUGCCAGCUGUCUUAUUUUAAACAUGGAACCUUAUGUAACAUGUUGCGUCAUAAAUGUUAAAUAACGACAGUUGUAAUUGCAUUUCCUACACGUUGAACAAACAAAUACUAAUGUAUGAGGUUGCAUAUCAUCUGCUUCAAUACAGACGAACGGAAAACAUGUUGCUAGAGAGGAAGCGUUUACUUAUCGGUGUAUGUAAGCCGAAAAAUAUAUCAAUAGCUUCCAUCUUAGGUAUCGUUCAAUACACAGCGUAUGCAACUGAUGUACAUUCCAGAUUAAAUUUGUAAGUGCAGAAGUGUAAUUAUACACUCUUUGCAAUUUCGUACAGAACUAUCAUUCUCCGCCAUUGUGUCUCUUGCUAUAAGGCUAGUUCUUCUGGAGUCGCAGGCAGAAGUGUAUCUUUGUAUUAUUAUUUGGAUGUAAGAUUCUGAGUUUCUUGCACAACGAUACACUUAGAUAAUUGGCUUGUUUGCAGCCUCACUACAAUAUGAGACAAAACAAAAAGAAAUCUGUAAAAUGUAUAAUAAGGUAAGUAGUCUCGCCGAAAUUAGGUAAGUCUGAUGCCUGCAAUAAGCGAGGAACACCAAGCCCCAUGGAACUCAAUGUAACACUCAUAAUACUCAAUGUAACGAACGUCGGCAGACCUAUAUUGAAAGCCAGUUUUAACAAUACAGUGAAAUACUAAAACUGAGAAUAAAAUAAUUAUAGAGAUAUUCUUUUUUAUAUUUUAUUAAUGUAAGUUCCCUAUUCUGCUUAAACUUAGAGGCACUUCUCUUUACACAACAGUGAUCAACCAGCACCGUACCUUUACAUUUCCAUAGAAGCAAUUUCAGUGGACGUUUAUAUGUGUGAAUUGUUUGUCUGUGUGUGUGGUGUAUGUGUAUGCGUAUGUAUUUAUGCACCAUGUGCGUUAGUAUUUUUAUAAAACUAAAAGCUGUUCCAUACCACCAUUAUUAUUAUGAAAAUAGUGGCUAUAAAUCGUCAUUUCUAAAGAACAAAUUUCUAAUGUAUAUGUUUCAACAUUAUAUUCCGUCAAUGUUGGUGAUAUCGUAAGUUUAAGAAAGUGUGGAAUAAAGAAAAUGUAACAUGAUUCGUUUAAUUAUAUAUAUGCGUAAGACACAUUUUAGACAUACAACUUUAGAGCCUCAAUUAUAGCUAUAAAAUAAGCCACUCACGUUAUUAUUGUAUGGUUACCUUUAUUUAAUUAUGCAUUUGUAAUGUAACUACAAGUACAGCAGUGAAAAUUGCCUGAAAUUUCAUCUGUAAAGAGAAUAGAAUAGAAAAUUUAUUGAUACAGAGUGAAAGUAUUUUGAUGAGAUGCAUACACGAAUUUGCCGUCAUAUAAUAUUACAUUUAUUACCUAAUGUUAUUAUUUCCCACAUAAAUGAGUACGGUAUUUCCAGAAGAAAACUGGUACGGAUCACAAUAGUAAUGGGUAUAACCACCAGUGAAAUAUCGAUCUUUUCAUCUAUUCAAGUUCUUUGUUUUUGACAGAGAUGAAAUAGAAAUAGAACACUUUUCUUGUAAAAAGUGCUGUAUUUCUUAGUGAAAAUUGCUUGAGACCCGAAAACAACGAUGGAAUUUCAGAACAGAUAUAGUGUUGUCGUCAACCACUGACACUGAUGGAUGUAUAUCCCAUCCAUGAAUAAACAGUAGGUAACCCAAAGUUUAAACGUAGCAAUUAGUCCCCAAAGUUGCACGGACAAACACACAU